rnacentral:tRNA from 1 species
GGUCCUGUAUCUCAGUUGGUUAGAGCAUUGGUUUAUGAGCAAAGGUGGCGAGUUGGAGCCUCGCUGGGACCA